UUUUAUAACAAGUAUUUUCUGCCCGGUGAUCUUAAACGGCCGCGGUACUCUGACCGUGCAAAGGUAGCAUAAUCACUUGCCCUUUAAUUGGGGGCUAGAAUGAAGGAAAUCACGAGACUUUAGCUGUCUCUUUUUUUUGUUUGGAAUUUGCUGUUUUUGUGAAGAAGCAAAAGUUAUAAAAAAAGACAAGAAGACCCUAUUAAGCUUUAUUUAUUAGAUUGUAAACUUUUAUUUUUAAAGAUAUUAUUAUAGUCUAUUAAUUUGGUUGGGGUGACCAAAAAAGAUAAAAAUCUUUUUUUUCAGAUAAAACAGUUUGUUUUAAAAAGAUCCGGAAUUUUCCGAUUACAAGAAUAAGUUACUAUAGGGAUAACAGCGUAAUUUUUUCAGAGAGUUCAUAUUUAAGAAAAAGAUUGCGACCUCGAUGUUGACUUAUUGUUUCCUAAAAAGGUGUAGCAGCUAAAAAGGUUGGUUUGUUC
rnacentral:rRNA from 1 species